GACGAACGCUGGCGGCGUGCUUAACACAUGCAAGUCGAACGGAAAGGCCCUGCUUUUGUGGGGUGCUCGUUUGGCGAACGGGUGAGUAACACGCGAGUAACAUGUCCUUGUCUUUGGGAUAACUUCAGGAAACUGGGGCUAAUAUCGGAUAGGAGCUCCUGAUGCAUGGUGGGGGUUGGAAAGUUUCGGCGGUUGGGGAUGGACUCGCGGGUUAUCAGCUUGUUGGUGGGGUAGUGGCUUACCAAGGCUUUGACGGGUAGCCGGCCUGAGAGGGUGACCGGCCACAUUGGUACUGAGAUAGGGCCCAGACGCGUACGGGAGGCAGCAGUGGGAAAUAUUACGCAAUGGGCGGGAGUGUGAUGCGGCAACGCCGCGUGCGGAAUAACGGCCUUCGGGUUGUGAACCGCUUUCGCCUGAGACGAAGCGUGAGUGACGGUAAUGUGUAAAGAAGCACCGGCUAACUACGUG
rnacentral:rRNA from 1 species